GACGAACGCUGGCGGCGUGCUUAACACAUGCAAGUCGAACGGAAAGGCCCUGCUUUUGUGGGGUGCUCGAGUGGCGAACGGGUGAGUAACACGUGAGUAACCUGCCCUUGACUUUGGGAUAACUUCAGGAAACUGGGGCUAAUACCGGAUAGGAGCUCCUGCUGCAUGGUGGGGGUUGGAAAGUUUCGGCGGUUGGGGAUGGACUCGCGGCUUAUCAGCUUGUUGGUGGGGUAGUGGCUUACCAAGGCUUUGACGGGUAGCCGGCCUGAGAGGGUGAACGGCGACAUUGCGACUGAGAUACGGCCCAGACGCCAACGGGAGGCAGCAGUGGGGAAUAUUGCACAAUGGGCGGAAGCCUGAUGCGGCAGCGCCGCGUGCGUGAUGAUGGCCUUCGGGUUGUAAACCGCUUUCGCCUGUGACGAAGCGUGAGUGACGGUAAUGGGUAAAGAAGCACCGGCUAACUACGUG
rnacentral:rRNA from 1 species